rnacentral:rRNA from 1 species
AGAAUCAACGCUGGCGGCGUGCCUAACACAUGCAAGUCGCACGAGAAAGGGGAGCAAUCCCUGAGUACAGUGGCGCACGGGUGAGUAACACGUGAAUAAUCUACCUCCGAGUGGGGAAUAACUGAGAGAAAUCUUAGCUAAUACCGCAUAAUACCCACGGGUCAAAGCAGCAAUGCGCUUGGAGAGGAGUUCGCGGCAGAUUAGUUAGUUGGCGGGGUAAUGGCCCACCAAGACGAUGAUCUGUAUCCGGCCUGAGAGGGCGCACGGACACACUGGAACUGAAACACGGUCCAGACUCCUACGGGAGGCAGCAGUGGGGAAUUUUGCGCAAUGGGGAAACCCUGACGCAGCAACGCCGCGUGGAGGAUGAAGCCCCUUGGGGUGUAAACUCCUUUCGAUCGGGAAGAUAAUGACGGUACCGAUAUAAGAAGCCCCGGCUAACUUCGCGCCAGCAGCCGC